CAGUCAUUGGACAUGAAGUGAAUGGGUCAAAUGGACUUGUCUAAGUUCCGACCCAGGAAAGUCCCCGGGCCACUAAUCCGCAGAGAUGCGGCCUCGGUAACGAGAGAAUCGUACGGGUCGGAGAGGCACAAUCAGCUGAGACGCAUGUGUGGAGCUUUCGUGGUUUCUCUGACCGACGAUAACAUGGCCGUGAAACACAGUUAUUCACUUGGUCUUUGACCGGGACACAACUGAACGGGGCUUACUGUUCCAAUGACA
rfam:Arabis alpina cultivar Pajares Aa.chr5_contig_3695, whole genome shotgun sequence.